UAGCUGCAGCGGAUCUUAACAAUGCGUUUUGCACUGGAAUUACGUUUUUGCAAGAACCUACACGCUGCUUUAUUUUAACUCUAAUUUGAUUAGGAUCUACUCAGUUUGGUAUUCUUAUGCAAAAUGUCAAAAAGUGAGUUAUCGGGUACUGGAUAAUUGAGUAACAUUUACUCAAAUUUUCAUAAUUACCAUGUUUACUCAGUUUUGAGUUAUUAUCCAUGAUGUUAACUCACCCCUGAGUAUAUGUAUAUGUCAAAAGUUUUCAACAGCGAUAUUAUCUGUUUCCGAAGAACAAUUGGUGUCGCUUUUUAUUCGUUUGCUAGCACUCAACAUCAUUAUUGCAGAGGAUUUGAAAACAUAAAAAACAUCUCUUCAAAAUGAACAACCGCAUGUUGUGUGUCCUGCGAUGCCGUUUUAAGUCAGGCUUUUAUUCGUGCUAAUGAACGGAAACAUUUGUAUCGAUGUACAGUGCCCAAUACAUGCAAUCGAUACAAUUCAAAUCCUUCGCAGUGUUUGGUGACGGAUGAUGACGGAUUUUCUGGUGUGCGUACUGUACAAAAACAUGAGCCACAGUUCACGGGCAACUGUGAACCGGUUGGUCGCCGCAUUAUAUAAAGACACGUGAAUGAUUUAAAACUUUUAUAAUGUUUCGAUGAAAAAUAAAUCUGUUUUGAUUGUUCUGAA